rnacentral:lncRNA from 1 species
UUCCUUGUUGCUGCUUUGGUCUUUUGGUUUCUAGGUUUUUCUUCAUUUGCUUCUGGGAGGAAACACUAUGAAGGCAAGAGUGCUGGCUUCCUAAGGAGAGAGUCAGAAGAUGAGCUGCAGAUUUCAACCCUGCCACUACUUGUGUGAACCCAGACAAGUCCUUUAGUAUCUCCAGCUCUCAGACAGGUUGCUUCAGCUCUUUGGGGCUCACAUUUUCUCAUCUGCAACGUAAGUGGAUUAAAAGACAGGAUCCAGGACCCUUCCAGCUUGGCUCCACCAGGAGAGGAGACUGCAGACACUGCUAUACUCUGAAAUUUGGAACGGCAGCUAGCUUUGGAGACUGGAAGCCCUGGAUGUGCAUCUCAGAUUCACCACUUUCUAGUUGGCUGAGCCAAUCUUCAGACAGGCCAGCUGGAAAGGCGGUAGAAAACCUAAGCAAACCCCAAUCUUAAUGCGAGGAAGCCGCUGUAAAAGGAGAGUCUGUACUAUCUUCCCAGACAUGAAAGGCUGUUUGAAGGUGAGCACUAAAAACUGAGAGCAAUUCCCAAGGCAGGUGUGACAGACAAGACAGCUCUUUAGUCAGGAGAGAUGUGAACACGACGGGAA